UGAGGAAUAUUGGACAAUGGGCGCAAGCCUGAUCCAGCCAUGCCGCGUGCAGGAAGAAGCAUCUAUGGUGUGUAAACUGCUUUUAUACAGGAAGAAACACUCCCUCGUGAGGGAGCUUGACGGUACUGUAAGAAUAAGGACCGGCUAACUCCGUGCCAGCAGCCGCGGUAAUACGGAGGGUCCAAGCGUUAUCCGGAAUCAUUGGGUUUAAAGGGUCCGUAGGCGGUUUAAUAAGUCAGUGGUGAAAUCUGGUCGCUCAACGAUCAAACGGCCAUUGAUACUGUUAGACUUGAAUUAUUGUGAAGUAACUAGAAUAUGUAGUGUAGCGGUGAAAUGCUUAGAUAUUACAUGGAAUACCAAUUGCGAAGGCAGGUUACUAACAAUAUAUUGACGCUGAUGGACGAAAGCGUGGGGAGCGAACA
rnacentral:rRNA from 1 species